rnacentral:rRNA from 1 species
GAAUAUUGCACAAUGGAGGGAACUCUGAUGCAGCAACGCCGCGUGAGUGAAGAAGGUUUUCGGAUUGUAAAACUCUGUCAUUGGGGAAGAAUAAAUGACGGUACCCAAGGAGGAAGCCCCGCAUAAAUACGUGCCAGCAGCCGCGGUAAUACGUAGGGGGCGAGCGUUGUCCGGAAUUAUUGGGCGUAAAGGGUGCGUAGGCGGCUUUUUAAGUCAGAUGUGAAAGACCACGGCUUAACCGUGGGGUUGCAUUUGAAACUGGAAGGCUUGAGUAUCGGAGAGGGUAGUGGAAUUCCCAGUGUAGCGGUGAAAUGCGUAGAUAUUGGGAGGAACACCAGUGGCGAAGGCGACUACCUGGACGAAAACUGACGCUGAUGCACGAAAGCUAGGGGAGCAAACA